UACGUAGGGGGCUAGCGUUGUCCGGAAUCAUUGGGCGUAAAGCGCGCGUAGGCGGCCAGAUAAGUCCGGUGUGAAAGUCAAAGGCUCAACCUUUGAAUGCCGCUGGAAACUGUCUGGCUAGAGUACGGAAGAGGCGAGUGGAAUUCCUGGUGUAGCGGUGGAAUGCGCAGAUAUCAGGAGGAACACCAAUAGCGAAGGCAGCUCGCUGGGACGUUACUGACACUGAGGCGCGAAAGCGUGGGGAGCGAACAGG
rnacentral:rRNA from 1 species